CAGGUCAGGUUUCUUAUUUUGGACAGCACCAAAUAGUUUACUGCAGGUUUUGGUGGUAAAAAAAAUAGUACUUAUUUGCAAUUAAUUGAACAGUGAUUGAAAAUGGAGACAAUUGGAGUGUGGGGCAGAGGCAGUUAUUGUGUCUUGGAAGAACUUUGCUAAAGAAAAGCCGCAUUCUGGUAUUGGACGAAGCAACAGCAUCAGUAGACUCUGCAACUGACGCUGUUAUACAGAAAAUAAUCAGUAAAGAGUUUAAGGAUCGGACAGUAAUCACAAUAGCUCACAGAAUCCACACAGUAGUAGACAGUGAUCUUGUUUUGGUCCUUAGUGAUGGUGAGUAAGACCACAAAAGUAAGACCACAAACACACACACACACUCAGAUAAGAAACACCAUAAGAAGUGGUUUUGAAUGAUCUUGUUUUAUGAACAGGAAGAAUUGCAGAGUUUGACAGCCCGUCAAAGCUACUUGAGAGAAAUGAUUCAUUCUUCUCAAAACUAAUAAAAGAGUACUCCUCAAGAUCACAGAGUUUCAACAAUUUAGCAAAUUUGCAUAAUUGAAGAGAUUUAUUCAAGGGUUCAAAGGAGCCAAUUUGGGUAAGCAUCAGCAGUCAUAAAGCAGAAUUAUCAUCACUAGAUCCACAUCCCAGUAACAUAAUAGCAUUUUCCCAGACAUGAUAAGAAAAUUUAAAUCCUUGACCUAGAUGUUACUGGGAUGUUACUUGAACCCUUGAAUAAAUCUCUUCAAUUAUGCAAAUAUGCUAAAUUGUUGAAGCUUUGUGAUCUGCUGGAGUACUCUUUUAAGAAUUUGAGAAGAAUGAAUCAUUUCUGUCAUGUAAGAAUGAAACAAAAUCCUACCAACCACAAAAUGGGGAAUAGAGACAGAAAAGCAUAUUGUUCAUUUACAACUUACAUAUAAAACCAUUAGUCACUGCAGUCUUCCUCUGACUUCGUCUGUUGGUUAGCGAUCCUUCAUCCAGGGUGGAGAAGAGAGAAGACUAUCUGCAUUCUAAUUUUACUAUCUGGAUUCUAAUUUCAGUUGAAUUUAAGCUUUAUAC
rnacentral:lncRNA from 1 species